AUUAGUUCACGCCUUUCCUCUCUCUCCCCCCUCUUAAACUCAACUCCUUGUCCUCCGGACCUCCUCAGCAAUCUUCCUGUCUCCCCCAUCCGCUCUCUCCCUCCUCUUUCACGCAACAAAGGCUCUGUUCACCCGUCACCAACGACCGUCUAAUUAUACCUCCAGAAUCCUCUUGUCGUCCUCUUUCCAACUCCCAAGUUUGUUUCUCCAAAUUCUUAGCUGAAUUUCCUCAAUUUCAGAUCUAAGCAACGGAGAUCGUGGGCUUUCCUGCCAAUUUCCGGCAAAGGCUGCCGGAAUUGGACCUCAAUGCAAGAGGUAAAAAUGAUCUCUCUUUCCCCCUCUCUCAUCUAUCCUUCUCCCUACUUUCAUCUUCUGCUCUGCCUCCCUCAGACUCUCUUUCUCUCACCUCUGUCUCUCUCUCCGACUCCCUUUCUCUCUCUACCUUCCCAGAUUCGGUCCGUCUCUCUUCCUUUUCCCGAUCUGGUGGUUUUUGAUGAACCAAUCCAAAGCAUAACUCCCAGAUUCGGUCCAUCUUUAUUUUCUACCUUCCCAAAUCCUAGAUUCGGUCUCUCUCUAAUUCUCUCUUAUUUGAUUUGAUUUUCAAAAAAUAUAUAGAUCUAUUUGAUUUUCUUUCCUACUAUUGUCUUCUUCAAGCUACAUUGAUCCGGAUUGAUGAAGGAGAAUCUUCGAGUCAGAAAGAUGUGGGCAAGCAAAAAAGGAGGGCCACCGGAGGCCACCCUAGAAACCACCAUUGGCAUCUUCACCAUCGAGUAGCUUUAUUACAAACAUUCGCCGAGGACUUGCAAGAACUUCAUGGGGCUCGCUCGCAGAGGAUAUUACUCAUCCAGGAUUUCAUAGGGCAAGGUGGUGAUCCCACUGGGGCAGGAAAGGGUGGCGAAUCCAUUUAUGGGUGAAAAAAAAUUCCCUUGAAUUUCCCAUAAUGGGAAAGUUUGAGGACGAGAUAAAACAAGAGUUGAAGCAUAUUGGAGCUGGCAUCUUAUCGAUGGCGAAUGCUGGUCCAAAUACAAAUGGAAGCCAGUUCUUUUUCAUGUUGGCACCGUGCCCAUCAUUGGAUGGGUCUGACAUUGAGGCAAUCAAGCAACAUUUUGGAAAGAAAAUUUUGGAACUAGAAGAUGAGAAAAGAACUGUGCAGGUUCACUUAAAACCUUAAUAUUUGAUGUUUUUAUUCUUGAGAGAACCGAUAUUCACUUAAACCUUUAUAAUUUUAGUUUUAUUUUAGUUGGGGAUAGAAUAUGUAAAAUUAUAGUUGUUUUUAUAUAUAAUGGUUGUGAAUAUCUUUGUAAAUUGUAAUAUUAUAGAUGCUUGUGGUUGUGGGCUGUUUUAAUUUUAUGAAAAAAUAAUUUUUUGUUUA